GCACCGGCCACGGAGACACCGUCAACGAGCCGCUGCAGUUCACCGUGCCGCGGCCCUCGUCCUCCUCCUCCUCCAGCUACACGCUCGAAACCAGCAGCUCCUCUGGGCUCGAGGUCGAGUUCCUCGCUCCAUGCAAUUUCCCACCACCACAGGGACCGCCCCAGUUACGUACACGUGAGGUGCAGUGUUACGGCCCAAACCCUUCAUUGCGUAAAAGUAGUGACAAUAAGGGUAAGAAGAAAAAGGGCGAGAAAAAGGCCGCUGCUCUCUGACAACCUAGUGCCUUCUCUGCGUAACUGCUGGACGUAUUCAUCCUGUAAGCAUCAAGGAAAAAUGUAGAAGAAGCAGUACAUUGUUGAUUGUUAUUCUCAUUUACAAGCAUCAUUUGAG